UCAACUGUGUUCCUCUCCGCAGAUGCUGUCAGACCUGCUGAGUUUUUCCAGAAUGCUUGAAGAGAAAUGGCUGCUACAAUUAAGAACGCCUCUGAUUUACAUCAAACGUUGACAGGAAAAGUGAAAUAUACACCUGGCAUGAUUCAUAAUACCAGUUAGAUUCAGUUGCCAUUAAUGCCAAAUUAAAGAGUGCAAUUCCUUUGAGGAUUGGAAGAAAUCACUGUCAGCAAAAGAAAAAUGAAAGACAUUCAUGGAACAAAUCCUAUUUUUUGUAAAUUAGAUGAUCAUAUAACAGAAAACCACUUCUAUUAAUCAUCCCUUCAUCUAAUCACAGAAUAUUACUUUUCCUCUCUCUGCCCCUUUUCUCUUGUUUUGUUCCUCCUUAUAAGCUGUUCAUCUGUAACAUCCCUGGUCCUGACAAAAGGAAAUUGACCUGGCAUGUUAAUUCUACCUUCAUCUCUCCACAGAUGUGGCCUGAGCUGCUGAGUGUUUCCAGCACUUUUGAUUUUUCAUUUAAAGUUUCCAGCAUCUGCAAUAUUUCGCCUUUUGAUUUAUUUUAAUUCACAUGGAAGGAGCUGGUACUUUUCUUGCAAAUACAGAAAUUACUGAGUAUAUUAAUUUAUGCU